GUGCCAGCAGCCGCGGUAAUACAGAGGCCUCGAGCGUUAGGCGGAAUCACUGGGCUUAAAGCGUGUGUAGGUGGAUGCCUAAGUACCUUGUGAAAUCCCAUGGCUUAACCAUGGAAUUGCUUGGUAUACUGGGUGUCUUGAGCCACUCAGGGGCUACUGGAACAAACGGUGGAGCGGUGAAAUGCGUAGAUAUCGUUUGGAACGCCAAUGGUGAAAACAAGUAGCUGGGGGUGUGCUGACACUGAGACACGAAAGCCAGGGGAGCAAACGGGAUUAGAUACCCCCGUAGUCC
rnacentral:rRNA from 1 species